GUGGCGCAAUUUCAAGUGAGGGAGCUCGAACGGCGACGGUUGGGCGGGUAUCGGUGGCCGCUGAGAGAUUGGGGCUCACUCCGGCACUUCUUUAAAACUGGAGUUUGGGGAUCUGUUUCUGAUAGAAGCUUGCAUCCUGGCAGUAAAUGUAAAGCUGCGAGGACGAUCAGUAAAAUCGUGGGUUGGGCUGGGUGGAGAGUUUGUGCCAAGCCGUCGAGCUUCCCUUUGACAGCUCGAGCGUUGCCUCUCGCCUACCGCCCCCCCCCCCAAAAAAAAACACUCCUUUUGGGGGACAAAGAAAUUGUGGUUGCAUAUGCAGAAUGAUGGUGCUGAUUUCCAGUCUUCCAUGCAAUUCAACAGAAGAUGAUGAAAAUUGCAGAUGAAGAUUGAUGACCAGUAACAAAUUGCUGUUUUCUUUUGUCACAAACUAAACCAUUGUUUCAAACAAAAAGAAUAGCUUUUCAAAUCUUGAUUUCACACGAUGAGCUUUGGUUGAUGGUCCAUUUUGUGUGGAUUCUUGACCUAUGAGUUGAGGAUGACAGUGGUAAAAAUUACACAGAUUGUGAGCUGAUUUCAAUUGAAAAAUAAUGGCUACUCAAACAGAACUAUCAUCAAAAUUUAAUCAAGCAGGAAGACAAAACCUGACUGGCACAGUUAAAACGGUAUGACAAAUCAUCUGUAAAUUGAUGCUUUGCUUUCUUCUAUGUGGAGUUAUAAUUUCUUUACUACGUUGAAAUCAUGUUCAUGGGUUGAGGUGGGUCUGCUCUGUGCAUAAUUUGAUAUAACGAGUACUUUCACGUAUUGGAAAAAAAUCUUUAAUUCACUUUAUAACAUGAUUACACCUAUUUUUUGAAUAAUUGGUGUUAAUAUUUGUUAACACCUGAAACUGUAAAUAUGGAUUAUUAUGGAUGUUGGCUUUGUACAUGCCUGAGAAGAGCCUUGGGACUUUUUUAAGGUGUUAUAUAAAUGCAAGUAGUUUGCCUUUUUUAUGCAGAAUUUUUUUUUAGAAGUUCUUCACUGGAUAUAUAAACUUGGUUUGAGAGGUCUAAGAAAUUAUUUCCAAUGUUGCUGUCAUCAGUUGAUCAUAAUUUUUUUCACAGGUUACUUUUGUUAAUACAGUGAACUCUUUAAUCUUUUAAAAAUGCUUCUAAUUUAGAUUUAGGAGUGUAAUGAGCUUUUAAGUUUAAAAUCAGAAUUAAAAAUUAACUAUUUGACUCGUUGAAAUGAAUACAUUGCAUCAGCCUACUGAGAUCAUUUUGCCAAUCCGAUAUGGUUUGUAAACAAAAAACUUGUAAAGUUCAUAUACAAUUCAAAA